GACGAACGCUGGCGGCGUGCUUAACACAUGCAAGUCGAACGGAAAGGCCCUGCUUUUGUGGGGUGCUCGAGUGGCGAACGGGUGAGUAACACGUGAGUAACCUGCCCUUGACUUUGGGAUAACUUCAGGAAACUGGGGCUAAUACCGGAUAGGAGCUCCUGCUGCAUGGUGGGGGUUGGAAAGUUUCGGCGGUUGGGGAUGGACUCGCGGCUUAUCAGCUUGUUGGUGGGGUAGUGGCUUACCAAGGCUUUGACGGGUAGCCGGCCUGAGAGGGUGACCGGCCACAUUGGGACAGAGAUACGGAACAGACUCGUACGGGAGGCAGCAGUGGGGAAUAUUACACAAUGAGCGGAAGCCUGAUGCAGCAACGCCGCGUGCGGGAUGACGGCCUUCGGGUUGUGAGCCGCUUUCGCCUGUGACGAAGCGUGAGUGACGGUAAUGGGUAAAGAAGCACCGGCUAACUACGUG
rnacentral:rRNA from 1 species